CAUAUUAUAUGUUUAUUUUAUUUUUUUUUUUAUUCUUUACUAUAUAUACCUCCAUAGUAAUGAUGGGUAUGUAAAGGUGACACACAUUUGGUUAAUUAAAUUUAAAUGUGUGUAAAUUAUAAUGAAUUCCAUUAAAUGGCAUUUUGAGAAUUCUAUAUUUAUAAGAGGCACAUAAAUAAACUUAUAAUGGUUAUAUAAAGUGAAAGGAUUAUAUAAAAUCAUAAGAAAUGUUGAAUAAAUUAGAAAGUAUAAGAAAGUACAUUUAUAGAUAGAUUAUAAACUAAGAAUAAUAUUUGAAAGUAUUAGAUUAUAUAGGGGUUAGUUGAAAGAACCUAGAAAAAAUAAGAAAAUACUGACUUAAUAUUAUAGAGGAUAGAGUUAUAUUGAUUUUACUGGAAGGAAUAAUGAUUUUAUUUAAGUAAAUUAAAAUAAAAAAGAAUGAAUAGUAUUAAGUUAAAAAUAAUUGUAUCUAACAAUAAAAAGUAAAAGCUAAGAAGAAAAAUUACUUAAGAGUCUUUAAAUCAUAAAUAUAAAUUACACCCUAGAACAUUUGAUGCAGAUCAAAAAAACAAUAUGAUGUGUUUAAUAUUUAUUAUUAUCUUGAAGAAGAUUUCAGAAAAAAAACCUUUUAAGUUAGCACUCAGAAGCUUAAAAGGAAAUAAUAGGAUAAUGUAUAAAUAUGAGAUGAGAUUUCUUUAUCUUUAUAUCGAAUCGUAAAAUUGUUAGUACAAGAAAUAAACUGGAAUUGUAAAAAUAAAAUAAAAUAAAUAACUUUAGAACGUCAAAAAAUAGAGUUACUUUUUAUUUGUCAAUAUGUAAGAAGAUUUUUAAUGAACCUACCUGGUAAUUAUAAAUUGAAAAUUGAAGACUGCGAAGAAAAAGAAGAUGCUGAAGAGCUAGAAGAUGCUGAAGAGCUAAAAGAUGCUGAAGAACAUUUAAAAAUAAGGUUACCUUAAGUCUUAUUAACAUAUAUAAUAGGUUGUAUGAAGAACGUAGAUGGUAUUACAACUUAAAUAAAACUUAAAGGAUAAAAAUGAAUAAAAAGGUGUAGAACGAAGAUAAAAUAUACAUCUUGAGUAUAUCAAAAGAUAUAAGAUAAUUGAGAGAGAAAUGUAUACAGAUAUAUGGGUAUAUUAAUAAUAAGUAAAUGGAAUCCAGAAACAAACUGAUGUACUCAAAGAUGUCUUAAAUAAACAUGUAUAUGCAGAACAGCAUGAUAGGUUUUUUUUUAUUUUUGUAUAUACCAAUGUUAUUAAUGGUUAUAUAAGAAAUAAGCUGUAAAAUAUACUUAAUAGUGACCUUAAAAGAUAAUGACUUAGAAGAACAGACACAUAUAUAUGAGCUUAUGUAUUUUUUGUUUGUAUAUACCAACUCACUUAAUGGAUUUAUAUAAGAAGAUAACUGACAUUUUAAAAGGCAACGUUACAAAUAUAUAUAUAGGAAAUAGAAGAAGCUUUAUUUUAAUUUUUUUUUUAUAUAUACCAAUGUCUAAAUGGUUGAUAAAAGAAAUGAACUGCGAUAAGUAAAGAAAGCUUAAAACAAGAAAAAAAGGCAUUAUAUAGAAGAAGCACAUUAUAAAAACUAAAAAGGCAAAAUCAGAACUCAAAAUAGAUAUAACUCAGUGCUUAGUAUUCAGAACUGAGAACAAAGAUCUUAAAGGCUUCGAAACUCAGAACUAAGAAUCCCCCAGAAUUAAGGAAGCCAUAUAAUUCAGAUCUGAUAAACUGAGAACUGACAAGACAGGAAAUAAAAAAUAUAAAUGUGAUAGAGAAGUGAUAACUGUGAAAAAAAGUUAUGCAAAUAAGCCUUUUUAAGAUAUGUUAUUAAAUACAUAAUAUUGUUAUGCAGAACGGCAUACAUGGAAUGUGUAUAGAAAUAUAAAAAGGACAUGAAGAAAUUAUAUAGUUAAAUAGAAUCACACAAUAUGAUAAUGGAGAAAAACAAAUAGUUAUAGGCAAAAUACACAUAAACGUAUAAAUGAUAUGAAGAAAAACAACGAAUACAUGGAAGAUGAGAGAAGAGUGUGUUUAUAUUUAGAAAAUCUAUUAUAUUCUAAGCCCCAAGAAUAUUAUUGGAAAUUUUAAAUAUAUACAUAUAUAUAUAUAUAUAAGCCUUUUUUAUAUACAUAGGAAAGUUUUUUAUAUUAUACAAAACCCCACUUGUGUAUAAUAUAGAGAACUUUUUUUAUUUAAAUUGGCAUAGAAGAUUCUAUAGGAGAUUAUUAAAUGUUAUGGAUAUAUGAAGAAGAAAAAUUUAUAUUUAAGAAAUAUUGUCCUUAAAAGUUUUAUCUUAAUAUUGUUUUGCCAAAACUUUUAAUUUAUUUUGAUAUUUCAGAAAGAAUAUAGUUUUAAUCGUGUGUCUUAAAAGUAUAUAGUGUUUUAGUCAGUGUUUUUUGAAAGAAUAUGGGUUCCUUCCAAUGUGCCUUAAAAUAUUUAGUGCGAUCAGUAUUUUCUUGAGGAUAUAGUUUAUUUUGAUGUACUUUUGAGGAUAUAGUUUUUUUAAUAUUUUGGAAGAUUUAAUAUAUAAUCCUUUCACAAUACUAAAAAGGUAGUACAUUAUUUUGUGUUUCUUAUAUUAUAUAAUUUUCUUAGUGUUGUUUAUGUUUUCAUGAUAAUUUAUGCAUAUAUUUUUUUUAGUUUUUCAUUUUCACCAAUUCAUUCGUUGAACUGUGUGUGGUGUAUAUUGUUUUUUUCUUAUUCUUAUGUUUUUUUCUUAUUCUUAUGUUUUUUUUUUUUAUUCUUAUGUUUUUUUCUUAUACUUAUGUUUUUUUUUUAUUCUUAUGUUUUUUUCUUAUUCUUAUGUUUUUUUUUUAUUCUUAUGUUUUUUUUUUAUUCUUAUGUUUUUUCUUAUUCUUAUGUUUUUUUUUAAUUCUUAUGUUUUUUUUUUAUUCUUAUGUUUUUUUCUUAU